rnacentral:rRNA from 1 species
UACGUAGGGUGCAAGCGUUGUCCGGAAUUAUUGGGCGUAAAGAGAUCGUAGGCGGUUUUGUCGCGUCGAAUGUGAAAACCCCGGGGGCUCAACCCCCGGGCCUGCAUUCGAUACGGGCAGACUAGAGUUCGGUAGGGGGAGUCUGGAAUUCCUGGUGUAGCGGUGAAAAUGCGCAGAUAUCAGGAGGAACACCGGUGGCGAA